rnacentral:rRNA from 1 species
GUCCACGCCGUAAACGAUGGGUGCUAGGUGUCGCGGGCUUUGACUCCUGCGGUGCCGUAGCUAACGCAUUAAGCACCCCGCCUGGGAAGUACGGCCGCAAGGCUAAAACUCAAAGGAAUUGACGGGGGCCCCGCACAAGCGGUGGAGCAUGUGGUUUAAUUCGACGCAACGCGAAGAACCUUACCUAGGCUAGAAAAUGUAGAAACCUGGCAGAAACGUCAGGGUGCUCUUCGGAGAAUCUGCAGUUAGGUGCUGCAUGGCUGUCGU